rnacentral:tRNA from 1 species
GGAGAGGUGGCAGAGUGGUCGAACGCGGCAGUCUUGAAAACUGUUAGGCCGAAAGGUCUCGAGGGUUCGAAUCCCUCCCUCUCCGCCA